rnacentral:rRNA from 1 species
AUUGAACGCUGGCGGCAUGCUUUACACAUGCAAGUCGAACGGUAACAGGCCGCAAGGUGCUGACGAGUGGCGAACGGGUGAGUAAUGCAUCGGAACGUGCCCAGUCGUGGGGGAUAACGCAGCGAAAGCUGCGCUAAUACCGCAUACGAUCUAUGGAUGAAAGCGGGGGACCGUAAGGCCUCGCGCGAUUGGAGCGGCCGAUGUCGGAUUAGGUAGUUGGUGGGGUAAAGGCUCACCAAGCCAACGAUCUGUAGCUGGUCUGAGAGGACGACCAGCCACACUGGGACUGAGACACGGCCCAGACUCCUACGAGAGGCAGCAGUGGGGAAUUUUGGACAAUGGGCGCAAGCCUGAUCCAGCAAUGCCGCGUGCAGGAAGAAGGCCUUCGGGUUGUAAACUGCUUUUGUACGGAACGAAAAGGCUCUGGUUAAUACCUGGGGCUCAUGACGGUACCGUAAGAAUAAGCACCGGCUAACUACGUGCCAGCCGCCGCGGUAAGAC